ACGGAAGGCAGCAGUAGGGAAUAUUGCACAAUGGGGGAAACCCUGAUGCAGCAACGCCACGUGUGGGAAGAAGCAUUUCGGUGUGUAAACCACUGUCGUGAAGGAAUAAGGCUUAUUUUCGGAUAAGUUGAAUGUACUUUGAAAGGAAGCACCGGCAAACUUCGUGCCAGCAGCCGCGGUAAUACGAGGGGUGCAAGCGUUGUUCGGAAUCACUGGGCGUAAAGGGAGCGCAGGCGGAGAUGCAAGCGGUCUGUACAAUCCCGGGGCCUAACCCCGGACCUGCAGACCGGACUGUUUCUCUUGGAUAGUUCAGGGGCAAGCGGAAUUCCUGGUGUAGCGGUGGAAUGCGUAGAGAUCAGGAAGAACACCGAUGGCGAAGGCAGCUUGCUGGGGACUUAUCGACGCUCAUGCUCGAAAGUGCGGGUAGCAAACAGGAUUAGAUACCCUGGUA
rnacentral:rRNA from 1 species